AGAAUCAACGCUGGCGGCGUGCCUAACACAUGCAAGUCGAACGAGAAAAGGGAGCAAUCCCUGAGUACAGUGGCGACCGGGCGAGUAACACGUGACUAACCUACCCUCGAGUGUGGAAUAACAUCGGGAAACCGAUGCUAAUACCGCAUAACAUCGCAAGAUCAAAGGAGUAAUCCGCUUGAGGAGGGGGUCGCGGCUGAUUAGCUAGUUGGCGGGGUAAUGGCCCACCAAGGCGAAGAUCGGUA
rnacentral:rRNA from 1 species